UCAUAAAAAGCUUGCCACCGUUUCAGC
rnacentral:sRNA from 1 species